GACGAACGCUGGCGGCGUGCUUAACACAUGCAAGUCGAACGGAAAGGGCCUGCUUUUGUGGGGUGCUCGAGUGGCGAACGGGUGGGUAACACGUGAGUAACCUGCCCUGGACUGGGGGAUAACUUGAGGAAACUGGGGCUAAUACCGGAUAGGAGCUCCUGCUGCAUGGUGGGGGUUGGAAAGUUUCGGCGGUGGGGGAUGGAGUGGGGGCUUAUCAGCUUGUUGGUGGGGUAGUGGCUUACCAAGGCUUUGACGGGUAGCCGGCCUGAGAGGGUGAACGGCCACAUUGGGACUGCGAUAGGCCCCAGACUCGUACGGGAGGCAGCAGUGGGGAAUAUUGUCCAAUGGUGGGAAGCCUGAUGCAGCAACGCCGCGUGCGGGAUGACGGCCUUCGGGUUGUAAACCGCUUUAGCCUGUGACGAAGCGUGAGUGACGUUACUGGGUAAAGAAGCACCGGCUAACUACGUG
rnacentral:rRNA from 1 species